CCUGCCUAUGUGGGUUGCAGAGCCAGGCAGAGCAUUUGACAUUUCCGGUUGGAGGGCCAUGGCAGCCAGUAUUUUAUUUAAAACACUCAGAGUUUACAGUCAAAAACCCGUGAGUCUGAACAAAUUCUUUAACUGGCAAUUCCCUGCAAAGGGCUCUGCAGUUUGCACUAUUUCAAUCAUGUGUUCAAUCAAAAGGGUAUUGGAGACGUAACUGUACAUUAUCACUAUUGACAUUUCCCAGCCUACUCCACUUUGGUUAAAAAGAAAGUGUCCAAAGAUGCCACUUAAUAACUUUGGGUAUCAUGAAAAUGUCACUUUGGCAAGCAGAAAAGUGGAUUUACACACCCACCAAAGGUGACCUGCUUAGAAAGAGACAGCAGGGAUUGUUUCCUGGCCUCCAAAAGAGACAGUGCACCCAAUGUCCCUGCAAGUUACCAUUGCUCCAGGGGAUGGAGGGAGGGAGAGGAAGAACAAAGGGCAGUGGCAGCCCAGGUGCUACUCAGCCCACUGGAGCAGGCUCGGGUGGACAGAAAGGCUUCUAGGGCUUCAGCAACAAAGCUGGGGUGGGGGUAGGGGUUGGGCGAAGAAAGGUGAUAUGGUUUGGCUCUGUGUCCCCACUCAAAUCUCAUCUCGAAUGGUAAUCCCCACAUGUCGAGGGAGGGACCUGUUGGAAGGUGAUUGCAUAAUGGGGGCAGUUUCCCCCUUGCUGUUCUCAUGAUAGUGAGUUCUCAAGAGAUCUGAUGGGUUUAUAAGUGUUUGGCAGCUCCUCGUUUGUUCUCUCUCUCUCCUGCCAUCCUGCCAUCAUGCCAUCAUGUAAGACGUGCCUUGAUUCCCCUUCAUCUUCUGCCAUGAUUGUAAGUUUCCUGAGGCCUCCCCAGCCAUGCAGAACUGUGAGUCAAUUAAACCUCUUUUCUUUAUAAAUUACCCUGUCUCUGGUAGUAUGUUUAUAGUAGCGUGAGAAUGGUCUAAUACACAGGGAAAAAGGACCGACUGGUGCAAAGCUGAUAAAAUGACUGCAUCCGGUUCUGGAGUCCCAGAUGGGGGUAACACACACAUAGAAAGACGCAGGAAGGUGGGUCCCAGCCAAGAGACCCGUCCCUUGGUCAAGGUGAUGGGGGGCAGCAAGUGAUCCUGUGGCCCGGUGAAAGCAAGGUCAAGGUUUUGGAAGGACCGUCAAGUGUUAGCAGAGCUACAGCUGGACAGAGAAGGAAGAAGAGGGGCCAUUUUCCCAGAGGAGAAGGCUGUGAAGAGCCAGCCAGGCAAAGUGGCAGGGCUCAGUUAAAAACCGGUAGAAUGGCAGGCUGAGGCAUGGCUGCAAAGACUGGGUUAUCCCCUUCUCCACUUCCUGGGUUUCCAUCUCAGCAACACGCACCAACCUCCACAAUCUAGGUGGCAACCUCAAAUCUUUCUGUAACCUCACUUCCCACAGUGCUUUGCACCUAACCCAGGGGCAGACAAAUAUUUUCUGUAAAGGACCAGACAGUAAACAUUUUAGGCUUUGCAGGCUCUGUUUAUUGGAACAUUCACCCUACUCAACUCUACCGUUGUAGCGUGAAUGUUCCGAGAAAACUUACAACACUAGGCAGUGGGCCACAUUUGAUGCAUAGAAAACUGCUUGCCAACCCCUGAUGUAACAGAUUGCCAAGGCCUGUCGAUGUUACCUUCUAAAGAUCUCCUGAACCUGCCCACUUUUCUCCAGCGCCCACACCCUCGCCACACUAGUCCAGCCACAAUCUUCUGUUGCCUAGAUGACCCCAGCAGCUCCCUCCCCGCCUGCCUCCUCCAUUCUGCUUUCACUUUUGUCUCCUCUACCCAGCAGCCAGAGUGAGCAUAUAAAAUGCAGUUCUGAUCCUGUCACCUCUCUGCUUAAAACUCUUCAGAGGUUCACCAUCGCUUCCAGAAAAAGAUCAAUACUCCUGACGUGGCAACCUGUCGAGACUCAGGACCGCUAGGAAAUCAGCUCUUGUUUACCCCUCUAUCCAUUACACUACGAUCCAGCUGGGUUUAGGCAUCACUUCCUCUGAGCAAUCCUCCCUGAUGUCAUGAGGCAGUGCUGAGUGCCUUCUCUGGACCCUCUGUUUACUUGCCUGUUAAAUCCUGAACAUCUGGAAGGGAGUCGUGUUCAGCAACAUAUCUACGCCUUGCAGCACGGUGCCUGGCCUGCAGCUGGUGUUCCGUAAACAGCUGCUGACUGACGGGAUGCAUCGAUGUGUUUCCCAAGACAUCCAGGAGAGGAUAUUGGCGCAAACAGUGAGUCAUCACUCUCCACCCACCUUCCAGACUCCCUCCUCCAUGCAUAUCCAGCUCUUCUCAACCUGGGGCUCCCUUAGAAAAUCCAGACAAAACAAUUGCCACAGAGCCAACAUCUUCCUUUUCCCUUUGUCUUAUGAGGCCUUGAAAGCUCCAUGAUAGAGAUGACAGAGCUAUAAGAUGAAAGCAGCCCAAAUCCCUGAGUCACCAAUGUUUGAAGAAGAGCUUCCCAGGAGAGUAAAAAUGGCAGAACAAUAAAGAAAAUGGAAGAAAGAGAAAAUAUGAGAAGAAAUGGAAGAAAAUGGAGAAAAAUGGAAGAAAGAGAAAAUAUCUCUAACAUCCAACAUAGCCAUUUUUAUUCUUCCAUGUCCAUUCCAAUAUUUAUGUACUGACACAUUUUUUGUGUUGUUAUAAUAACACAUAGACCCAAUGUAGAUUCAUUUUUCUUCCUUCACUUAUAUUGUAAGGAUUUUUUUUUUCAUAUACUGCUUGAGCUUUAUCAUCAUUGUCUUUAAUAUUUGCAUAACAAUCCAUCAGGUUAUCACACUAACUAUUCUCUGAUUGCUGGACCCAUGAGUUGUUCAUGUUUUGCUAUGGUAAAUAAUGCUGCAAUGAACAUCUUUGUGCAAAGACUUCAGUCUGUCUUAUCUCAUGUUUUCUUAGAACCAACUGCGAGGAAUGGGAUU
rnacentral:lncRNA from 10 species